GAUGAACGCUGGCGGCGUGCUUAACACAUGCAAGUCGAACGAAGCACCUUGAUUCGAUUCUUCGGAUGAAGAUCUUGGUGACUGAGUGGCGGACGGGUGAGUAACGCGUGGGUAACCUGCCUCAUACAGGGGGAUAACAGUUAGAAAUGACUGCUAAUACCGCAUAAGACCACAGCACCGCAUGGUGCAGGGGUAAAAACUCCGGUGGUAUGAGAUGGACCCGCGUCUGAUUAGGUAGUUGGUGGGGUAACGGCCUACCAAGCCGACGAUCAGUAGCCGACGUGAGAGGGUGACCGGCCACACUGGGACUGAGACACGGCCCAAACUCCUACGGGAGGCAGCAGUGGGGAAUAUUGCACAAUGGGGGAAACCAUGAUGCAGCGACGACGCGUGAGCGAUGAAGUAUGUCGGUAUGUAAAGCUCUAUAAGCAGGGAAGAAAAUGACGGUACCUGACUAAGAAGCACCGGCUAAAUACGUG
rnacentral:rRNA from 1 species